rnacentral:rRNA from 1 species
GACAGAGGGUGCAAACGUUGUUCGGAAUUACUGGGCGUAAAGGGCGCGUAGGCGGUUGGAUAAGUCAGCUGUGAAAACCACGGGCUUAACUCGUGGCCUGCAGUUGAUACUGUCGGGCUAGAGUCCGGAAGAGGCGAGUGGAAUUCCCGGUGUAGCGGUGAAAUGCGCAGAUAUCGGGAGGAACACCAAUGGCGAAGGCAGCUCGCUGGGACGGUACUGACGCUGAGACGCGAAAGCGUGGGGAGCAAACAGG